UUUCAACAAAGUACCUCACAAAAGGUUAAGCCAUAAUAUAAGAGGCCACCGUGUUGAAGGUAGUAGAUUGGCAGUGAUAGAGAAUUGGCUCAUGGGCAGGAAACAGCAUGUUCCUGCGAUAAGGGUUUCUUUUUCAGCUUACCAAUGAAUGACCAGACUGUUUCCACAGGGAUCAGUGCUGGGAGUGAAACUGUUUACAAUACAUAUUAAUGAUUUGGAGGAAGGAAAGGAAUGUACUGCAGCCAAACCUGCAGGUGACACAAAAUGAGUGGAAAGGCAAAGAGGAUGCAAACAGUUUACAGAGUGAAAUUGAAAGGAUGUACUGAAAUAACUAAGCAGAAACAGUGUGUUAAGAAAAUGGACACUGGCUUAUUGACAAGCACUCUGAAGAGAGAGCUAUAAAUAUGGAUGCAGGAAAAGAAGACAGGCACUGAGGUACGAAAAUAUGUAGUCCUACCUGUUGCAGGCUAAAUGUACAUGCUACUUGGGAAGGUAAUUGAUGAAGCAGUUGAAGUUAGUUAAGCCUAAGGCACUACAGAUGACACCACCAUAGUCAGUUGAAUCUCAGACAGUGAUGAAACAGACUACAGGCAGGAGGUGGAAGACCUGGAA